GGGCUCGUGAUCUAGCGGUAUUAGUAAUUAGCGUAGCUUCUUGCUGCCUAAGAUGCCCGCUUGACGUGCGGGAAAUCGAGGGUUCAAUUCCCUCCGAGCCCACCA
rnacentral:tRNA from 1 species